GACGUAGGGCGCGAGCGUUGUCCGGAUUUAUUGGGCGUAAAGAGCUCGUAGGCGGCUUGUUGCGUCGACUGUGAAAACCUGCGGCUCAACCGUGUGGUCUGCAGUCGAUACGGGCAGGCUGGAGUUCGGUAGGGGAGACUGGAAUUCCAGGUGUAGCGGUGAAAUGCGUAGAUAUCUGGAGGAACACCGGUGGCGAAGGCGCGAUUCUGGUCCGUUACUGACGCUGAGGCGCGAAAGCCAGGGGAGCAAACGGG
rnacentral:rRNA from 1 species